CGUGCUUAACACAUGCAAGUCGAGCGAGAACGCGGGUCUUCGGACUCGUUAGUAGACCGGCGACGGGUGAGUAACACGUGAGUAACGUACCCCGGGGUGGGGGAUAACAGUGCGAAAGCGCUGCUAAUACCGCAUGAGACCACAGCACUUCCGAGUGCAGUGGGAAAAGAGGGCCUCUGUUUCAAGCUCUUGCCCUGGGAUCGGCUCGCGCCCGAUUAGCUAGUUGGUGAGGUAAUGGCUCACCAAGGCUCCGAUCGGUAGCUGGUCUGAGAGGAUGAUCAGCCACACUGGAACUGAGACACGGUCCAGACUCCUACGGGAGGCAGCAGUGGGGAAUCUUGCGCAAUGGGCGAAAGCCUGACGCAGCAACGCCGCGUGUGUGAUGAAGGCCUUCGGGUUGUAAAGCACUGUCAAGGGGGAAGAACCGGUGCACAGCUAAUACCUGUGCGCCCUGACGGUACCCCUGAAGGAAGCACCGGCUAACUCCGUGCCAGCAGCCGCGGCAAUACGGAGGGUGCGAGCGUUGUUCGGAAUCAUUGGGCGUAAAGCGCGUGUAGGCGGGAUGGUAAGUUGGGUGUGAAAGCCCGGGGCUCAACCCCGGAACUGCGCUCAAAACUGCCUUUCUCGAGUACGGGAGGGGGAAGCGGAAUUCUUGGUGUAGGGGUGAAAUCCGUAGAUAUCAGGAGGAACACCGAUGGCGAAGGCAGCUUCCUGGACCGAUACUGACGCUGGGACGCGAAAGCGUGGGGAGCAAACAGGAUUAGAUACCCUGGUAGUCCACGCCGUAAACGAUGUUCACUAGGUGCAGCGGGUGUUGACUCCGGCUGUGCCGUAACUAACGCGUUAAGUGAACCGCCUGGGGAGUACGGCCGCAAGGCUAAAACUCAAGGAAUUGACGGGGGCCCGCACAAGCGGUUG
rnacentral:rRNA from 1 species